rnacentral:pre_miRNA from 1 species
CUACUACUCCCUCCGUUCCAAAAUAGAUGACUCAACUUUGUACUAAAGUUAGUACAAAGUUGAGUCAUCUAUUUUGGAACGGAGGGAGUAUAUU